GAUGAACGCUGGCGGCGUGCCUAAUACAUGCAAGUCGAGCGAACAGACGAGGAGCUUGCUCCUCUGACGUUAGCGGCGGACGGGUGAGUAACACGUGGAUAACCUACCUAUAAGACUGGGAUAACUUCUGGAAACCGGAGCUAAUACCGGAUAAUAUAUUGAACCGCAUGUUUCUAUAGUGUAAGACGGUUUUGCUUUCCCUUAUAGGUUGAUCCGCGCCCCAUUAGCUAGUUGGUUAGGUAACCGCUUACCAAGGCAACGAUGCGUAGCCGACCUGAGAGGGUGGUCGGCCACACUGGAACUAAGACACGGUCCAGACUCCUACGGGAGGCAGCAGUAGGGAAUCGUCCGCAAUGGGCGAAAGCCUGAUGGAGCAACGCCGCGUGAGUGAUGAAGGUCUUCUGAGCGUAAAACUCGGUUAUUAGGGAAGAACAAAUGUGUAAGUAACUAGGCACGUCUUGACGGUACCUAAUCAGAAAGCCACGGCUAACUACGUG
rnacentral:rRNA from 1 species